GACUACAUCAUGGAACUGCUGCCAGCUUUUGGAAUGAACUUUGUGCCAAACUCUGCGUUGUUGCUGAUUUUCACGUGAUGGAUGUGGAAACACCCGGUUUUAUCAGAGCUGGCUUUGCUGAAGAUGCCUUGCAGGACUGCAGAAAGGGAAGCCCAGCUCUCCUCCAGCUCAACUCUGUCGCAUCUGGUACAGCUGAAACUAUACUAAAGGAAGGACACGUCCAACUCUCUCUCCUGGGAGCAGGCUGAUGAGUGACAGUGUCAUGAAAUGGUUGCUGGCUGACCUCUGAGCUUGUGAGCACUGUGGCUCUGGACAGACGGAUAUCACAUCUUGACUGCUCCUGAGAUGUCCCAAAGUCUUCAGCUUUUGCUUUCUCCCUCAGUUCAAAAGCCCCCUGAGCCCAGGGCUGCGUGCUACACUGAAACGUUCAAUCCUGCAUUUGAAUAAGCUGAAUCAAGCCAGCCAUACUGCUAAACAUAUGCAUGGAGACUUCCUACAUAAAUGAACGUUGCCCUGAAGCACUUGUAGUCCAGUUGUUACUGCUUUGUGCUGAUAGUGAAAGACCCCAAAGAGAAUGGAGUAUAAGCCCUGUCCGUCGUGCGGGAGCCCAGCAGAUGGAGCAGUGUUCCUGUGCAUGAGGAGGUGUGGGGCCGCAUCCGGAGCUGCGCUGUGCAGUCGAGCCGAUCUGCCCCAGUGCAUCUAUGAAGCACGGAA